rnacentral:rRNA from 1 species
UACGGAAGGCAGCAGGGGGAAUAUUGCACAAUGGGCGAAAGCCUGAUGCAGCUAUGCCGCGUGUAUGAAGAAGGCCUUAGGGUUGUAAAGUACUUUCAUCGGGGAGGAAAAAACAAAACUAAUAAUUUUAUUUCUUGACGUUACCCGAAAAAGAAGCACCGGCUAACUCCGUGCCAGCAGCCGCGGUAAUACGGAGGGUGCUAGCGUUAAUCAGAAUUACUGGGCGUAAAGAGCACGUAGGUGGUUUUUUUAAGUUCAGAUGUGAAAUCCCUGGGCUUAACCUAGGAACUGCAUUUUGAAACUGAAAUACUAGAGUAUCGUAGAGGGAGGUAGAAUUCUAGGUGUAGCGGUGAAAUGCGUAGAUAUCUGGAGGAAUACCUGUGGCGAAAGCGGCCUCCUAAACGAAUACUGACACUGAGGGUGCGAAAGCGUGGGGAGCAAACAGGGAUUAGAUACC